ACUCUCAACAACGGAUCUCUUGGUUCUGGCAUCGAUGAAGAACGCAGCGAAAUGCGAUAAGUAGUGUGAAUUGCAGAAUUCAGUGAAUCAUCGAAUCUUUGAACGCACAUUGCGCCCCUUGGUAUUCCAUGGGGCAUGCCUGUUCGAGCGUCAUUUGUACCUUCAAGCAUU
rnacentral:rRNA from 1 species